GAGAAGCGAAGCCGCGAGGCAGAGCAAAUCUGAAAAAAGACAUCCCUAGUUCGGAUUGUAGGCUGCAACUCGCCUACAUGAAGCUGGAAUUGCUAGUAAUCACAGGUCAGCAUACUGUGGUGAAUACGUUCCCGGGCCUUGUACACACCGCCCGUCACACCAUGAGAGUUGAGAAUACCCGAAGUCCAUGUCAAAGUGGCCGAAGGUAGGCUUGAUGAUUGGGGGUGAAGUCGUAACAAGGUACC
rnacentral:rRNA from 1 species